rnacentral:rRNA from 1 species
GUGGGGAAUCUUGCGCAAUGGGCGAAAGCCUGACGCAGCCAUGCCGCGUGAAUGAUGAAGGUCUUAGGAUUGUAAAAUUCUUUCACCGGGGACGAUAAUGACGGUACCCGGAGAAGAAGCCCCGGCUAACUUCGUGCCAGCAGCCGCGGUAAUACGAAGGGGGCUAGCGUUGCUCGGAAUUACUGGGCGUAAAGGGCGCGUAGGCGGAUCGUUAAGUCAGGGGUGAAAUCCCAGAGCUCAACUCUGGAACUGCCCUUGAUACUGGCGAUCUUGAGUGUGAGAGAGGUAUGUGGAACUCCGAGUGUAGAGGUGAAAUUCGUAGAUAUUCGGAAGAACACCAGUGGCGAAGGCGACAUACUGGCUCAUUACUGACGCUGAGGCGCGAAAGCGUGGGGAGCAAACAGGAUUAGAAACCCGUGUAGUCC